rnacentral:tRNA from 1 species
GGAAGGCAGGCGCAUCCGGUGAUGCGGCCGGGCUUCAAACCCGGUAGGGGGCGUCGACCGCUCCCUGGUAGGUUCGACUCCUGCUACCUUCCGCCA